rnacentral:tRNA from 1 species
GGUGGGGUAUAGCUCAGUGGUAGAGUGCUUGCCUAGCAUGUGCCAAGCUUUGGGAUGAAUCCCCAGCCAUAUCA